UACGUAGGGGGCAAGCGUUGUCCGGAAUCAUUGGGCGUAAAGCGCGUGUAGGCGGCUCGAUAAGUCCGCUCUGAAAGUCCAGGGCUCAACCCUGGGAUGCGGGUGGAUACUGUCGGGCUCGAGUCCGGAAGAGGCGAGUGGAAUUCCCGGUGUAGCGGUGAAAUGCGCAGAUAUCGGGAGGAACACCAAUGGCGAAGGCAGCUCGCUGGGACGUGACUGACGCUGAGACGCGAAAGCGUGGGGAGCGAACAGG
rnacentral:rRNA from 1 species